rnacentral:lncRNA from 1 species
AGAAUUUAGAUGGCAUUCCACCACUGCCUUGUAAUUACAGUAAUAUGAUACCAUCCUAAUUUUUUUAUGUGACCAUGGUUUCUCUUAGGAUUUCCCUUUUUAAUGACAUGAUGAUCUCAGUGUUAAGUAUCACUUCCUGGGACUAUCUCCUUUAGAUUUCUUGUCUUCUGACUCCUAUAAUACUUAUAUCUUUACCUGGACUUCAACUUACAUUUGUUUUACCAACUUUUCACUGCAGUUAACCUCUUGUCCUUUUCAAAUUUCAAUGCCACUUCCUUCAUUAUAAUCAGUCCCUUGCAUAUACUUUCAGUUUCCUUUCUCUCUUGCCUUACCUCAGUCCUAGUUACAUCCAACCUUUUUAUGCUCUUCCCUUAAACUGUACAUGUUACUGUGACUGGAGAAAAACACAUUCACACUAGUAGUCCUAUUUUUCUGUUUAUGACCACUAACUUCAUUUUUCCCCCCCCACUAUUCCCUUGAGCUAUUAUCUCCAACCCUUUUUUGAGACAGGGUCUUUCUAAGUUGUAGAGGCUGGCCUCUAAGUUAAAUACUCCUGCCUCAGCCUCCUGAGUUGCUGGGAUUGUAGGUGUGCACCAACAUACCGAACCAUGACCACCAACUUCCUGUGGGCCCUGAGUGCUACCUAGCAAUUGUUAUAUUUCCCUAGUUCUUUUACUCCUCUUUGCCUCAGAAUUUUAGCACUUCUUCUGUCCUUACUUUAGGUACAUGACCUACUUCUCUGUUUUACUGCAUAAUUAGCAGCAUACCUACCUGCAUAUGGGCCUCGUAAUCUGCUGUUCUUUUGUUAUGUAGAUCGACCUUCUGUACUAUAGUAAGUGCAAACACUUCUGUUUGUACAUUGAUUCCGUACCCUGUCGUAUAUUCAAAGGUAUUGCUCUAGCAGUUUUCUCCUCAUAAUGAAUUUGCUCCUCUACUGGAUCAUUCACAUCAGUACCUAAACGUGAUUUAUGAUUCUCAGUCUUAAAACUGUCAUUUCUUGGCAUAACAUUGUUCUUCAUCUUCUCUCCAUACCCCAGUUUUCUUUUCAACCAGUUUUUUAAAAGAGGUGUCCAAACCCACUGUCUCUUGUUCUCUCAUCUUUUUCUCUGUUGUCUCUGCCCCAGUCAGGCUUUGAACCUUUGUUUCAUCAAAAUUGUAUCCUCGUGAUCAUCAUAAACCUCAGUGUUGCUAAACUGGUUAAGGUUUGGUUUUAAGCUUGAACAUCAGCACAUUUUGUCAUAGUUGUCAUUCCAUCCUCAAGACAAAUUCUUGGCUUAGUUUUUGUGAUGCCUGCCUUGACUGGUUUCUUACGUCACUGGUGGCUCUUGUCAUCUCAUUUAUCUAAAUCAGCAUUAUACAAUCAGGAUAUAAUAUAAGCCAUGUACAUAAUUUAAGAUUCUAGUAGCCACAGGUAAAUUAAUUUUAAUUGCUUAUUUAAGUGUGUGUGUGUGUGUAUGUGUGUAUGUAUGUAUGUGUAUAAACUGUUUUAAUUUAAAACACACAGUCAUUGCCACUGCAUUAGCGUAUAUUCACAAGUAUUCUAGGCAUCCUAAUCUUGCACCAAGGGCAGGUUAAUAAUAGAUGAUUUUAAAGUAAAACUGGCACAAUUAAAAAAUGAAAGAUUCACAUAAUGAUUGUGCCCUGCUUUUUUUACAAAAAAAAAUUAUGACAAAAUCUGCCAUGAUUAUGUAUUCAAAUAUGGCAUUAGUAAAUGUUUAAUAUUUUCAGAAAAAUUGAAUUAAAAUAUUAAUGAAUAACAGUAUUUACUACUUACCAUAAUAUUAAUGUUUUGCAUUCUUUUGAACUAAGUAUUUGGUAUGUGCUUUAUACUUAACAGUGCAUCUCAGUUUGAACUGGCUACAUUUCAAGUGCUCAAAGUAGCUCAGGGGCUGUCAUAUUGGACAGCUUAGCUCUAAAUGUUGGUGUGGCUCAGGCCCAGUUUUACACCUCUUUUCUAUCUAUACACACUCUCUUGGUGAUGUCAUGCAGUUCCAUAUCUGUCUCCUAGUGAAGCCCAAAUUUGUAUCUGUGACCUAGACCUGUUCCUUGAACCUUGUACUUAUAUGUGCUACUGCCUAAUCUUACAUCUCCACUUGCAAGUCUGUUUCAAAUUCAACAUUUCCAAACUGAGCUGGUGCUAAUUUUCCCCUUGCUUCCAACAACUUCUUUCUGUAGCUCUCGAUUUUAGCAAAUGGAAUGCAUCCAUUCUUAUUGUAUAGAUCUAAAACCUUGAAGUCAUACUUAUCUCUUAUCUUUCUCCCAAACCCCACUUCUAAAACCAUAGGAAGUUCUAUGAACCAAAAGUUAACAAACUGCAACCUGCAGGCUAACCUAGCCUACUGCCUAUGUUUUCUGUGGCUCUUGAACUAAGAAUGGUUUUUGUAUUUUUAAAUGGUUAGAGUUAAUUGGUUAUGUAAGUACCUGUGUAAUAUCCUUAAUUUUGCUAGUGGACCAGCAAAGGAUUAAUAUAAUCUGGCCCUUUAAGAAAAAGAUUCUCCACUGCUGAGCUAUAUUGUCUGUUUCUUCAUUUAACAGAAUUUGCCAAACAUUGUGGCAGAAGCUGGGAAAAAAAGUGUAAUAUCUCUCUGCUGUGCAGGGUGAGAAAGGGAGGGAGUAAGCUUCUUGCUUGUUUAUCCAGCUUCUACUUAGAGAUCCACAUUGCAAAUUCCAAUAUCCCUGAUUCCUGAAUGUUUUCUUCAUCCUUUCUUUUCUCUGACAUCUAUUUUUUUUGCUUUUAAGUCAGUUUUCUUUAUCCAUUUACUUUUCAUUUUCCAAAAAUUUCUUUAUGUGUCUUGUCUGUUGUCUUUCAACUCUUUGUCCUUGAGGUUUAAAUUUUUAAUUCCUUUGCUGUCAUUUUAGUAUGAUUUCAAGAGAUAAUAGGAAUAUCACAUUUAGCUAUAAGUUCAACAGUUGUUUUAUAUUAACUCUACUGAUUAUAUGGCCACAACCUGGUUGCUCAUCUUCUUCCCCUGGCAUGUUGUAGUCUUGAAUGUUUUAUUUUUUAAUAUCUUAUGAUGUAGAUAAUGUUCCUUCUGGCUCUUAUGCCUUUUCUCUUCCUCUUAUCCUUUUAGACCAAAGUCCUACUUAUAUUUAAACUCUUAUGACUCACCAGAGACACACUUCAGUUUUAUUCUCUGCUCUUCCUUAGAACUCUCUUCUCUUCUGUUAGAACUGAAAUCCACAUAUCCUGAUUCUCAUGGAACAGUCCUACUUGGCACCUUAUGUCCUUGUAUAAUCAUUAAUAACAUCCCCUUUUGUUUAGCCCUUUCUGUGCCAUUUUUUUAAAACAUGGACAUGAUAUCUAGAGGUAUUGCUCUGUUUUGUCAAUAUAAAGUGACACGUGAAAUCCAAGAGUUUGGAAUGGUGGAGCUGAAAGAUUACUGUACUUUUAAUAUACUUGUUACUUGGCAUAAUGAAAGUCUGUAUCAGUUAAAUCCCUGUAGAUGGCAUUUUUUUUUUCUUGCUUGCAUCUGAGUGUGUUUGUAACUCAUGCAAAAGUAAAUAAAUAAUAACACUGUAAGGGCUGGGGAUGUGGCUCAAGAGGUAGCCUGCUCACCUGGCAUGUGUGCAGCCUAGGUUCGAUUCUCAGCACCACAUACAAAUAAAGAUGUUGUGUCUGCCGAAAACUAAAAAUGAAAAAAAAAAAUUCUCUCUCUCUCUCUAAAAAUAAAUAAAUAAAUAAAUAGGUAAAUAAAUAAAUAAAAAUAACACUGUAAAUGUUUCAUUUCUUUUGGUAAGGAGUAAAUACUGUUAUUCAUUUGGUCUGUUGUCUUUCCAAAUAUUUUCGGUAACAUGUAUACACAGCAUUUUAUUUAAUAUAGAAUUAUAUAAACUCUUUGCAAUUUGCUUUUUUGUCCCUGGACAAGAGAAAAUAAAUGAGUCAACACUUUCGGGUAUAUCUACAGCAUUUUUCUUAUUGACUGCAGAACAUCAUGUAAAUAGUACAUUUUUAAAAAUAAUUUAAAUAUUUUAAAUUUAAAAUAAUUAUUUUAUCAAAGAAUGCUAAAACUGGACAAAAGUAUAGUGAGACACAGGACACGAAACUUUUCUGAGAAUACCUUCUGAUAUUAGAUAUAAGAUAUUAGUUACAAAGGAAGAAUACUAAGUUAUGGUGGAGAAAAUUUGUAGAUACCACCUUAGCCAGGUGGCCAGAAUAAUCAUCAGUAAUGCAAUACACUGUCACCCUGAGCCUGCUUCUCUAGCACUUUAAGGAUCUAACUGAAGCCAGGUUUGGUUGCACAUGUCUGUAAUCCUGGCUAUUCAGUAGGCUGAGGCAGGAGGAUUGUAAAUUUAAGUCCACCCUCAACAAUUUAGUGAGACCCUGACUUAAAAUAAAAAGAGCUGGCAUAUAACUUAGUGGUAAUGUUCCCCUGGGUUCAGUCCCCAGUAUCAAGGGGGUAAGAAUGGGGAGGAAGGAUUCAGAAAUACUAUGGUAUUUAUGUCAAAUAUGACAUAAUUUGAAUUUUAUCUUGAAAAACACCAGGCAAGCUCAUAUUGAGGUAUUACUACAAAAUAACUUUGGCUCAUUCUAUUUCAAAAUAUUAUGCAUGAAAAAUAAGAGGUUAAAGAUUAAAGAAACAUGGAUUCCUGACUUUAGAAUUGUGUUGUGGUUAUGUAAGAGAAUGAGUUUGUUUUUAGGAAAUCACAUCACAGUAGGAACAUUAUAGUAUGUAAUGUAGUUUCAGAGGUUUCAGGGAAAAAAAUACAGGGAAUUCUAAAUUAAUGUGGUAAAAAAAGUGUUUUCCAAACUUUGUAAUCUGAAUUUUUUUUUUUUUUUCCAAAUUAAAGUGAAAGUAUAGCCUCUGGGAAGUAAGACCACUUGUGUACUCUGAUUCUGUUAUUUGCUAAGUUUGUGAUUUUGGGGAAGUUAACCUUUCUAUGUAUUAGUUUCCUCAUCUGUAAGAAAUAGUUUGUAAUAGUACCCACUUCAGAGCAUUAUUGUGAGGAUAAUGAAGUUAAUACAAUAGAAUAUUCAAACAGUGUCUGGCAUAUGAUCAGCACUUAAUAACGUUUGCUAUUAAUAUUAGUAUCCCAUUAUGAAUAAAAUAAAUUAUGAGCCACUUACUAAUGGACAUUUACAUAUUUUCAAGUCUAAUCUGAAAUACUGGUAUGCAUGCUCUAACACUGACCUAUAUCCCCAACCUGAAAUGAAUAAUAAAUCAACAAUCUUGAUUGUUAAGGUUUAGAGAUUUUAAAAAUUCGCUAUUUAGAAUAUAUUAUUACUACAAUCAAGAUUUUUUUUAAACUGGGGAUGUAGCUCAGUGAUGAACAUGUGUGAGGACCUGGAUUCAAUUGUUUGUUAUUCCCCCUCAAAAAAAUUAUUGUUUUGUUGGAAUUAAAUUGUCUUUCCAUACUGGUGAUGUUGGGUGUUCUGUUAAUAUAGUUAUUAUUGUUAAUGUUGCUUGAAGUAUCCUUGUUGAGCUGCAUUGUUUAAAAUGUAAUAUUUUUAUAGAGACCUAAAUGUGCCUGAUAGUUGUAAUAUAUUGUAAAGGUUCUGGAAAAUCUGGUAAGGAAUGUCGGCUUUACACAUUAAGAUGUCUUACUUCUCUCUGGAUAAUAGGCUUUACAAAGGCAGUGAUUGUUUUUUACCAUUGUAUCUGUGGUAUCUAGCCCAUACUAGUCUCUAUAUGUUGCUCAGAAAAUGGUUUAGAAUGAGUGAAUAAAUGAUCAAGAUUUCAUUGCCAUUAUUAUUA